GUGGGGAAUAUUGGACAAUGGGCGAAAGCCUGAUCCAGCCAUGCCGCGUGUGUGAAGAAGGUCUUCGGAUUGUAAAGCACUUUAAGUUGGGAGGAAGGGUAGUAACCUAAUACGUUGCUACUUUGACGUUACCGACAGAAUAAGCACCGGCUAACUUCGUGCCAGCAGCCGCGGUAAUACGAAGGGUGCAAGCGUUAAUCGGAAUUACUGGGCGUAAAGCGAGCGUAGGUGGUUCAGUAAGUUGGAAGUGAAAUCCCCGGGCUCAACCUGGGAACUGCUUUCAAAACUGCUGAGCUAGAGUACGGUAGAGGGUGGUGGAAUUUCCUGUGUAGCGGUGAAAUGCGUAGAUAUAGGAAGGAACACCAGUGGCGAAGGCGACCACCUGGACUGAUACUGACACUGAGGUGCGAAAGCGUGGGGAGCAAACAGGAUUAGAAACCCUAGUAGUCC
rnacentral:rRNA from 1 species